AUACGAAGGGUGCAAGCGUUACUCGGAAUUACUGGGCGUAAAGCGUGCGUAGGUGGUUGUUUAAGUCUGUCGUGAAAGCCCUGGGCUCAACCUGGGAAUGGCGAUGGAAACUGGGCGACUAGAGUGUGGCAGAGGGUAGUGGAAUUCCUGGUGUAGCAGUGAAAUGCGUAGAGAUCAGGAGGAACAUCCGUGGCGAAGGCGACUGCCUGGGCCAACACUGACACUGAGGCACGAAAGCGUGGGGAGCAAACAGGAUUAGAUACCCUGGUAGUCCACGCCCUAAACGAUGCGAACUGGAUGUUGGGUGCAACUUGGCACGCAGUAUCGAAGCUAACGCGUUAAGUUCGCCGCCUGGGGAGUACGGUCGCAAGACUGAAACUCAAAUGAAUUGGCGGGG
rnacentral:rRNA from 1 species